GAUGAACGCUGGCGGCGUGCCUAAUACAUGCAGGUCGAGCGAACAGACGAGGAGCUUGCUCCUCUGACGUUAGCGGCGGACGGGUGAGUAACACGUGGAUAACCUACCUAUAAGACUGGGAUAACUUCGGGAAACCGGAGCUAAUACCGGAUAAUAUAUUGAACCGCAUGGUUCAAUAGUGAAAGACGGUUUUGCUGUCACUUAUAGAUGGAUCCGCGCCGCAUUAGCUAGUUGGUAAGGUAACGGCUUACCAAGGCAACGAUGCGUAGCCGACCUGAGAGGGUGAUCGGCCACACUGGAACUGAGACACGGUCCAGACUCCUACGGGAGGCAGCAGUAGGGAAUCUUCCGCAAUGGGCGAAAGCUUGACGGAGCAACGCCGCGUGAGUGAUGAAGGUCUUCGGAUCGUAAAACUCUGUUAUUAGGGAAGAACAAAUGUGUAGGUAACUAUGCACGUCUUGACGGUACCUAAUCAGAAAGCCACGGCUAACUACGUG
rnacentral:rRNA from 1 species